AUCCAGAUGACGAGUCCGAAUAGGACAAAACGUGAGUUCUGGAU
rnacentral:hammerhead_ribozyme from 1 species